rnacentral:rRNA from 1 species
CCUACGGGGGACAGCAGUGAGGAAUAUUGGUCAAUGGACGAGAGUCUGAACCAGCCAAGUAGCGUGAAGGAUGACUGCCCUAUGGGUUGUAAACUUCUUUUAUAUGGGAAUAAAACGUUCCACGUGUGGGAUUUUGUAUGUACCAUAUGAAUAAGCAUCGGCUAACUCCGUGCCAGCAGCCGCGGUAAUACGGAGGAUCCGAGCGUUAUCCGGAUUUAUUGGGUUUAAAGGGUGCGUAGGUGGAUUGUUAAGUCAGUUGUGAAAGUUUGCGGCUCAACCGUAAAAUUGCAGUUGAAACUGGCAGUCUUGAGUACAGGAGAGGUAGGCGGAAUGCGUGGUGUAGCGGUGAAAUGCUUAGAUAUCACGAAGAACUUCGAUUGCGAAGGCAGUUCACUGGACUGCAACUGACACUGAGGCACGAAAGUGUGGGUAUCAAACAGGAUUAGAUACCCGGGUAGUC